AUUGAACGCUGGCGGCAGGCCUAACACAUGCAAGUCGAGCGGAUGAGGGGUGCUUGCACUCCGAUUCAGCGGCGGACGGGUGAGUAAUGCCUAGGAAUCUGCCUGGUAGUGGGGGACAACGUUUCGAAAGGAACGCUAAUACCGCAUACGUCCUACGGGAGAAAGUGGGGGAUCUUCGGACCUCACGCUAUCAGAUGAGCCUAGGUCGGAUUAGCUAGUUGGUGAGGUAAAGGCUCACCAAGGCGACGAUCCGUAACUGGUCUGAGAGGAUGAUCAGUCACACUGGAACUGAGACACGGUCCAGACUCCUACGGGAGGCAGCAGUGGGGAAUAUUGGACAAUGGGCGAAAGCCUGAUCCAGCCAUGCCGCGUGUGUGAAGAAGGUCUUCGGAUUGUAAAGCACUUUAAGUUGGGAGGAAGGGCUGUAGGCUAAUAUCCUGCAGUUUUGACGUUACCGACAGAAUAAGCACCGGCUAACUUCGUGCCAGCAGCCGCAGUAA
rnacentral:rRNA from 1 species